rnacentral:tRNA from 1 species
GAGGGUAUAGCUCAAGUGGUAGAGCACGUGCUUAGCACGCACAAGGUCCUGGGUUCAGUCCCCAGUAACUCCU